AUGAUGGAAGAGGUGUAUAUGGAGAUUCCUCCAGGAUUCAAUAGCCGUGAGACUGAAGGCAAGGUUUGUAAACUAAAAAAAUCCCUCUAUGGUCUAAAACAAUCACCUCGAGCAUGGUUUGGAAGGUUUAGAAAAGGAAUGUGCUCCUUGGGAUAUCAACAGAGCAAUGCUGAUCACACUCUCUUCUUUAAACGUCAUCAUGAUAAGAUUACUAUACUGACUGUAUAUGUUGAUGAUAUAGUAAUCACAGGGGAUGAUGUUGAGGAGAUAUCAUACUUGAAGAAGAUGAUGGCUAAAAUAUUUGAAGUUAAAGACUUGGGCUAUCUUCAUUAUUUUCUGGGGAUUGAAGUUGUUUAUGGGGCACAAGGUAUUUACCUCUCUCAAAGGAAGUAUGCACUUGAUCUUCUUAAUGAAACAGGUAUGUUAGGAUGCAAACCAGCGGCCACACCUAUUGAGCAAAAUCAUCGUACCUUGGCAGACUCAGGUGACCCCGUAGACAAAUACCAAUAUCAGAGGUUAGUUGGCCGUUUAAUCUAUUUAUCGCACACAAGGCCAGAUAUUGCAUAUGCAGUUAGUGUUGUAAGCCGUUAUAUGCAUGAUCCUCGUUCAGGCCAUCUAGAAGUGGUAAAUUGA
rnacentral:rRNA from 1 species